CGGAGCGGUACGAGGAGAUGGUGGAGUUCAUGGAGAAGGUCGCCGGCGCGGCGGCUGCGGGCGAGGAGCUCACGGUGGAGGAGCGCAACCUCCUCUCCGUCGCCUACAAGAACGUCAUCGGCGCCCGCCGUGCCUCGUGGCGGAUCGUCUCAUCCAUCGAGCAGAAGGAGGAGGGCCGCGGCAAUCACGACCACGUCGACGCCAUCCGCGCCUACCGUGGCCGGAUCGAGGCCGAGCUGUCCUCCAUCUGUGCUGGGAUACUCCGCCUUCUCGAAGACCGGCUCAUCCCUGCCGCUGCUGCUGCGGACUCCAAGGUCUUCUACCUCAAGAUGAAGGGCGACUACCAUCGCUACCUCGCCGAGUUCACGACCGGAUCCGAACGCAAGG
rnacentral:lncRNA from 1 species